AAGGGACCCCCAGGGCCACCAAGAGCCUGGUCAGGGCCACCAUGGGGACAGUCACAGGCAGGGCCACCAAGGUGACCACAGGGACAACCAGGGCUACCAAGACCACUGAGGGAGUGGCCAGGGCCAGCAUGGUGGCCACCAGGGCCACCACGGGGACGGCCACCAGCAGGGCCACUCCAUCAAGGAGGUGGCCACUAGGAGGGACAGGGCCACCAUGGGGCUAGGGCCACCAUAGGGACAGUCGUGGCCACCACAGGGACGGCUGUGGCCACCAUGUGGUCAGGGCCACCAUAGGGACAGUCGUGGCCACCAUGGGGACAAUCAGGGCCACCACAGGGAUGGUUGUGGCCACCACGGGGUCGGUUGUGGCCACCAUGGGGUCAGGGCCACCACGGGGUCGGUCAUGGCCACCAUGGGGUCGUGGCUACCAUGGGGUCAGUUAUGGCCACCACGGAGUCAGGGCCACUGUGAGGUCAGGGCCACCAUAGGGACAGUCGUGGCCACCACAGGGUCAGUCGUGGCCACCAUGGGGUCAGGGCCACCAUGGGGACAGUCAGGGCCACCACAGGGAUGGUCAGGGCCACCACGGGGAUGGUCAUGGCCACCAAAGGGUCAGUCGUGGCCACCACGGAGUCAGGGCCACUGUGGGGUCAGGGCCACCACAGGGUCAGUUGUGGCCACCACAGGGACGGUUGUGGCCACCAUAAGGAUGGUCAGGGCCACCACAGGGAUGGUCAGGGCCAUCAGAGGGACGGUCAGGGCCACCAUGGGGUCAGGGCCACCACAGGGAUGGUCAGGGCCACCACAGGGAUGGUCAGGGCCACCACAAGGUCAGUUGUGGCCACCAUGGAUUCAGGGCCACCACAGGGACAGUCAGGGCCACCAUAAGGAUGGUCAGGGCCACCAUGGGGUUGUGGCCACCACAGGGUCGGUUGUGGCCACCACAGGGUCGGUCGUGGCCACCACGGGGUCAGUUGUGGCCACCAUGGGGUCAGGGCCACCACGGGGUCAUGGCCACCACAGGGUCGGUUGUGGCCACCACGGGGUCGUUUGUGGCCACCACGGGGUUGUGGCCACCAC
rnacentral:lncRNA from 1 species